UGGACCAGAUCCUGCUCAUCUCGGAC
rnacentral:piRNA from 1 species